CCGUCGAACUUAACCCAAACUAAAUCCCUAGCGACCCGCGCGUCUCUCUUCUAUCCCGCCUACGCGCGAGCCACCGGUCCCCGCUCCUCCCCGCGCGGCGCCGCCAGCCUGCUCCUCCACCGCGCCCACCGCUAGCUCGCUCCUCCACCGCGCCCGCUGCCAGCCCGCUCCUCCACCGCGCCCCCGCUCCUCUGCCAUCAUCGCUGGUUGAGAUGGGUGGGUAGGGUUUGGGCUUGGGCGUGGCCGCUUGGGAUCUGAAUAGGGUGAGGUCGUGAACAAUGGAUCUGUCGAGUCGAUGGGCGGAACCGCUGAAGGAAGCAGAAGGCGAGGUGGAUCAGUGGAUGGCGUAUUGGUGUCGCGUCUCGCGUAAGCAAGUGGGGAAGACUUCAUCGCCGUGCGCGCCCGCCAUACCGCGCACCGCCACCUCCAUCGCGCGCCGGCCAGCCCCCGCUCCUCCACCUCCACUACACGCGCCGGCCAGCCCCCACUCCUCCACCUCCACUGCACGCGCCGGCCAGCCCCCACUUCUCCACCUCCACCGCGCGCCGGAAGCCCCCGCUCCUCCACCUCCACUGUGCGCGCCGGCCAGCCCGCUCCUCCACCGCAUCAGGAAGGCGAGCCAGAGAUCGAGCGGCCCGAGAAAAGGAGGAAACACAAGCUUAAUCAGAAGCCGAAGCCCAGGGAGCUCAAUCCAAUGGAGUGGAUCGCUGAAGCCCGGCACCAGUCGGCGCGGCCGCGGGCGCUGCCGCAUUGGCAGGCAGUGCUGAUGGGAAUCGGGAUGGACUGCAUCCGCUAGGCCUCUCCAUCGACCAGUGGGUUCCCCUGCUCAAGUUGUAUUGAUUUGCGUGCGCGCGGUUUCUGCCAAUCUGGCGACCUGCUUCAGAAUCUGAUCUUCAAGACACAUUCAGUGAAGAUUUGUUCUCAGGUUGAUCUGUGCAAUUUUGAAGGCACUCAUGGUGUCAAGUGAGGACUGGCAAUUUCCACCAGCGCGAGACGUUGAUGGUGUCCAUCUUACUGUAUUUAGUUGGGUUUUAGUACCUCGUACCUCCAAAAGGUUUCAGUUAAAGGACAUGUCCUGGAGAUCAAAGGUGACUGAGCUAACUGCAAUCUCUUAUUUCCUUGCAUUUUAGGAUUUUGGUUGCCUGGAUUCUGCAGCUCUUCAUUUUGCAAUAUUUGAAAAAUAGUCGAGUAGCCUCUAGGGCUUACCAUGCCUAAAAUGGUGAGGUAAGUCUAUUGCGCUUCUACUGACAUGACCAUUUAAUCACUGGGACUUCACACUCAAUACUUUUCUUGAAUAUAUAGAGAUGAUAGGAACAUUGCUGCCCAUCAGUAAUAAUCUUGUGCCUUGUUUCUAUGGGUUGAGCAUCCACUGAGAUUUUACAAAUAAAGUUGAUAGGCCACAUUUUGCACAUUCACAUCUGCUAGUAAGAUUGUUUUCUUUCCAAACAGUAAAUACUUUAAAUCAGGUAAUGGUAUUUAUUCUGGUGCAGGGUAAUGUACAAUUGUGUUCCCUUAAACACACUUUAUGCUUUUCCCCUCACCUUCUAUAGAAUUUACCCAUGAUUCCAUGGUGUACGAUUAUGUGCAGUGCAGUUGUUGUUAGUUCUUUAGAAAACCUCUUGUUGUUAGGGCCAAGCGUAAUUAGUUCAAAUAUCGCCACAAUGGUUUUCAAGUUGUCGGUGCAGGAUAUGACUCAUGUGCUCUUGUAAUGGUCUGUACUUUAAGAACAGGGUCGAGAAAUAGUGAAUGUUUCAGAACUUUUUUUUCAUUUUCUACCAUAGGAAACUUAAUGUGUUUUGUGACAGGAUACUACUGUCAAUGGGAAAGAGAACCAUGAUCAAGAGAUAAGUUGCAUCGUAGACACAAUGUUACUCUGUUCAAUAUUGAUGUCUUUUCUGUUUGCAUAGUGUUAACCUUAGUCGAAAUUUCUAGCUCAUGACAAAUAUUUAUUGUACCUUUAAAUGGUUAUUUAAGCAAGAAUAUAUGAGCUUACUGUCAUAGAAUGACCUACAUUCCAUCCACCUUGGUCAUCCAGAUUCAGCUCUGAUGAUGCUAAGGAUGUAGUCCAUUACCAAACAAUCUCACCAAAGAGCUUAGCUAAAUCUGUUCUCGAGGAAGGUGGCUGGUCAAACUUCAUGUUCUCAAGGGAGGAUACUCAGAAUAAUAUUGAUGUUGCCAUUGUUUUUAUUGGCUCAAAGCUGCAAUCGUCAGACAUAUCUAAAGAUAAGCAAGUUGAUCCAGCUUUAGCAGACACACUGAAGGUAAUCAUAGGCACUCAUCUCUCAGAUACUGUUCUAUAUGCAUGGUACUUGAGUUAUUCUGCGCUACUACUGACACUACUAAAUUGGAGCCUUGGAGUCUGGAGCAAAAAAAAGUGGUGGCUGUAUUCUCAAGGAACAUGAGACCACUGAGCUCUGGAGUGAAUGAAGGACGUCGUCUUUGGAAGUCAGACAUCACCUAGAGCUAGGGUGUCCAUUCUUGACAUGUUUCUCUUAGUGAUAGGUGGAUACUGUCUAGCUAGGAAUAAAGUCUUGAGGGAUUGAUGGACGCAUGCAUCUCCAAUUCCUGUGUGUUGUAUUACUACUGGUACAAUCUCCAAUUCCUGUGAACUUAUGUAUUUGGACUGUGAAUUUGUGAUAUGAACAUAUAUCAAUGUGUUUGAAAUCUGUAUUGUAUGU